ensembl:lincRNA
CUCUGCUGGGCACAGGCAGCUGCAGUGAUUGUUCUGCUGCGGCUUCUGGGGGGAGCCUGAGGCUCCCUGCAAUCCAGGCCUUUCCUUGCUAACUGUGUCCUAUCAGAGAGGACUUUCCCGGGCAGGAGGCUGUCGGCGAGACUGCUGGAACAAGGCUGAGGGUAACGAUUGCUAAUAGAACAGGAGCUAGUGUUUAUGGGGAGGACUCACCUCACGCUUAACAUUGUAGAAAGCACACGGAUUUUUCAUUUCAUCCGAACAGCGUGCCUAUGAGGUCAGUGCUGGCUUUUUGUUUGUUUUCAUUUGCUUGAUUUGUCUUCAUUGCACCAAAGAAGCACUCAGAAAGGCCAAGUAUCUUGUCCACGGCCAGGGAGCUGAAUGAACACCCAGUGGUCUCAUUCCAGAGCCCACAGGUGUGGAAAAGUGAAUUCUAGAAGUUCACUCACGUAGUUUCAGGUCUCACUUGACAUACCUUACUAGCUAAAAACACGUAUCUCUGGUGUUUGGAAGGUGCUUAAGCCCCAGCAACUCAUGGGCAUUAAUUUUCUCACAAAAAAUGGGAAGAGCAGCAAGUCCUGCCACUGAGGUCAUGGGAGCUGCGGCACCUCAGUGUCCACCAUAGAAUCAGCCCCCUAAGAAGCAAAUAACAGUGUCCGUGCCACACCCGGGCUCAGGGUUGGUCCAAGAGGAGUCACAGCCGGCCUCUGUGCCCAGUCUUCUCAGCCACCCUGCCCCACAGUUCCCUCAUCGGCAGAAUGGGACAAUAACGAAUGCACAGCGUCGCACCUCACAGAGUGGGGUGUGAGGAACAGGGGUACCCACACGGUUUGUGCCUUCCGAGGCCCCCCAGAAACGCUACUUGCCACCUUUGGAAGCCGGCAGGCAGCUCCUCUUUGAGCACAGCCUCCCGCACACCGCGGGUCCUCACAAGCAGCGGAGGAAACAGAAACCUGACCUUCAAAGCUCUGAUGUGGUUCAGGAGGAAGAUGGGACCAACAAAAACAAGGAAGCCUUUCUCUGAAGUCACCACUAGAAUUCCAGAUCACGUGUCCACCCUGAGACCCAUCACCACCCAGGGGACUGGAAACACUGUGAUCAGCUCAGACCUCCUCUUGGAAGAGCUCCAAAGUCUCCAUGCCCAACGAGCUUCUCCAAAAGGGCAGUGGUCAGCUUGGAGUGAACCUGGCACCUGGGUGUUCUGUCUCUGAUCCUCUCAUCCAAGAGAAGGCCAACACCUCGUCAGUCCACUGGGGAUUUAAAAACUAAACUAUAGCAUUUGGGGGCCAAAUGGUUUCCAGAUUACAGCCCAAGGAAAAAUGAGAUAAGCUGUAAUUAUAGCCUUAUGUUAAGUCUGAUAAUCAAAUAUAUCAACAGGAUGCUUGUAAGAAAAGCACGGCUCAGCUAGUGAUGACAUCAUGCCUGUCCUUUACCGCCCACCUCUCACCUCCAGGCUUCCCCUUCUGCUCUGCAAUGAUGGCCUUACACUCUGCAAGCCACAUUUCUGUCUCAUGCAUCAGCUGGCUUCCUGAAACUUUUCCAGUAGAGGCACCAACACAGGCAGGAAAAGAGGACAUCCUUUCUGUCCUUCAGUUCUGGGAGUGUCUCUCCAGGUGGAACACAUGGUGCCUCCUCUUCGCGGCUCCCUUCAGCACCCACGGCCCUGCAGAGACUUUAGAGAACAUCGGUGUAGGUCCCUCGGGAAGGGAGGACCCUCUGCAUAAAGUCCCCAUUUCCUGCGCCAUGCACUCUAGGGAGCUGGAGCAACUCUAGGCCACCACCUCAGGGUGUGAGCACCCUUGUGCUCUCCAGUGUUCUCAACACAAGCUCUGCUGCUUCCCCCUAGGGCUUCCUCCCAGGUCUUGAGUUCUGGUCAUCACUGCUCCCCGUUUUCUUGCAGCCCUAGGAGUGGCCAGUCUCGGAGUUACUUCGGCCUCCACACAUUGUGACUGUCCACUGUGGUCAUGGUGAGGGCAUGGUCUGGGUGUGUCCCCCAGAGGCUCCUGUGUUGGAAGCUUGGUCCCUGGUGUGGUGAAGUUUGGACCUUUGGGGGAGGUACUGAGUGGGGGGUUAUAAGUUCACUGGGGGCCCUGCCCUCAGAAGGGAUUGAGGUAGUCUCUUGGGACCCUGGUACAGAUCUGGUAAGAGGGCUGUUACAAAAGAGCAAGAUUUACUUCCUGUCUUGCCAUGCCAUCUCUCCCUCUCACACACACUCUACUGCAAUGCCAUCUGCCAUGAUAAAAUGCAGCCAAGGACCCCUUACUGGAACCAUAGGCAUGUUAUUUUGGUUUUCAACCUCCCAAACUGUGAGCUGUAUAAGCCUCUUCUCUUUGAAAUGAAC